rnacentral:rRNA from 1 species
GACGAACGCUGGCGGCGUGCCUAAUACACGCAAGUAGAGCGCUGAAGAAAGGAGCUUGCUCUUCUUGGAUGAGUUGCGAACGGGUGAGUAACGCGUAGGUAACCUGCCUUGUAGCGGGGGAUAACUAUUGGAAACGAUAGCUAAUACCGCAUAACAAUGGAUGACACAUGUCAUUUAUUUGAAAGGGGCAAUUGCUCCACUACAAGAUGGACCUGCGUUGUAUUAGCUAGUAGGUGGGGUAACGGCUCACCUAGGCGACGAUACAUAGCCGACCUGAGAGGGUGAUCGGCCACACUGGGACUGAGACACGGCCCAGACUCCUACGGGAGGCAGCAGUAGGGAAUCUUCGGCAAUGGGGGCAACCCUGACCGAGCAACGCCGCGUGAGUGAAGAAGGUUUUCGGAUCGUAAAGCUCUGUUGUAAGUCAAGAACGAGUGUGAGAGUGGAAAGUUCACACUGUGACGGUAGCUUACCAGAAAGGGACGGCUAACUACGUGCCAGCAGCCGCGGUAAUACGUAGGUCCCGAGCGUUGUCCGGAUUUAUUGGGCGUAAAGCGAGCGCAGGCGGUUUGAUAAGUCUGAAGUUAAAGGCUGUGGCUCAACCAUAGUUUGCUUUGGAAACUGUCAAACUUGAGUGCAGAAGGGGAGAGUGGAAUUCCAUGUGUAGCGGUGAAAUGCGUAGAUAUAUGGAGGAACACCGGUGGCGAAAGCGGCUCUCUGGUCUGUAACUGACGCUGAGGCUCGAAAGCGUGGGGAGCGAACAGGAUUAGAUACCCUGGUAGUCCACGCCGUAAACGAUGAGUGCUAGGUGUUGGAUCCUUUCCGGGAUUCAGUGCCGCAGCUAACGCAUUAAGCACUCCGCCUGGGGAGUACGACCGCAAGGUUGAAACUCAAAGGAAUUGACGGGGGCCCGCACAAGCGGUGGAGCAUGUGGUUUAAUUCGAAGCAACGCGAAGAACCUUACCAGGUCUUGACAUCCCGAUGCUAUUUCUAGAGAUAGAAAGUUACUUCGGUACAUCGGUGACAGGUGGUGCAUGGUUGUCGUCAGCUCGUGUCGUGAGAUGUUGGGUUAAGUCCCGCAACGAGCGCAACCCCUAUUGUUAGUUGCCAUCAUUCAGUUGGGCACUCUAGCGAGACUGCCGGUAAUAAACCGGAGGAAGGUGGGGAUGACGUCAAAUCAUCAUGCCCCUUAUGACCUGGGCUACACACGUGCUACAAUGGUUGGUACAACGAGUUGCAAGUCGGUGACGGCAAGCUAAUCUCUUAAAGCCAAUCUCAGUUCGGAUUGUAGGCUGCAACUCGCCUACAUGAAGUCGGAAUCGCUAGUAAUCGCGGAUCAGCACGCCGCGGUGAAUACGUUCCCGGGCCU